AGAAUUACUUGCAGGAGUAACCUAGUGCCUAUAGCUAUGGCAGGUACCUGCAUCCUUGUUUUUGUUUAGUGGAUCCUCUAUCCUUCAGAGACUCUGGAACCCCUGUGCUCUUCUCCUCAUCUAGUGACCCUGAGGUGAUGGAGUUUUCAAGUCCUUCCAGAGAGGAAUGUCCCAAGCCUUCGGGUAGGGUAAGCAUCAUGGCUGGCAGCCUCACAGGAUUGCUUCUACUUCAGGCAGUGUCGUGGGCAUCAGAUGAGUGAGUCAAGGCAGUGGGGAGGUAGCACAGAGCCUCCCUUCUGCCUCAUAGUCCUUUGGUAGCCUUCCAGUAAGCUGGUGGUAGACUUUUAGUAGGUGCUCAAUAAAUCCUUUUGAGUGACUGAGACCAACUUUGGGGUGAGGAUUUUUGAAACCGUCUUCAGUCUCUCCAAACAGCUGUGUCCGUUCUCCACAUCCUUGUCAGACCUCACCUCUGCUUGUGCUCCCUCCCUCCCAGGUGGUGCCCCUGCAUCCCUAAAAGCUUCAGUACAGCUCGGUGGUCUGUGUCUGCAAUGCCACAUACUGUGACUCUUGACCCCCCGACCUUUCCUGCCCUAGGUGCCUUCAGCCGCUACAAGAGCAGAAGCAGUGGGCAUUGGAUGGAGCUGAGUACAGGACCAUACAGGCUAAUUGCACCGGCACAGGUAACCAUUACACCCUUCACCCCCCGGGCCAGGCUGGGUCCUCCUAGAGGUAAACGGUGUCAGUGAUCACCAUGGAGUUUCUCCCCUGGGCACUGAUAACCCUGUGGAUGUCCUCAGGCCUGCUACUGAUCCUGCAGCCAGAAGUUCCAGAAAGUGAAGGGAUUUGGAGGGGCCGUGACAGAUGCAGGUGCCCUCAACAUCCUUGCCCUGUCACCCCCUGCCCAGAAUUUGCUACUUAAAUGGUACUUCUCUGAAGAAGAUGAGGAGGAAGGGGACAGGAUGACAUAGAGCCACUGACACUUUUCUUUGCCAAUUCUUUGGACCCUGACUUCUGCCCAUCCCUGACAUUUGGUUCCUGUCUUAAUGCCAGUGAAAUAAGAUUUCGCCGCCUAUCAUCUGCUAACUGCUACGGACUCAGGCUCAGAAAGGCCUGCGCUUCACCCAGGUGCCAGCCUCCACAGGUUCCAACCCAGGAGCCCAAGUUCCUUUUGGCCCUGACUCAGACACUAUUAGGACUGGCAAGUGAUAAGCAGAGUCCCAUACUCUCCUAUUGACUCGGACUACCAUAUCUUGAUCAUCCUUUUCUGUAGGAAUCGGAUAUAACAUCAUCUGGGUACCCAUGGCCAGCUGUGACUUCUCCAUCCGCACCUACACCUAUGCAGACACCCCUGAUGAUUUCCAGUUGCACAACUUCAGCCUCCCAGAGGAAGAUACCAAGCUCAAGAUACCCCUGAUUCACCGAGCCCUGCAGUUGGCCCAGCGUCCCGUUUCACUCCUUGCCAGCCCCUGGACAUCACCCACUCGGCUCAAGACCAGGGGAGCGGGGAAUGGGAAGGGGCCACUCAAGGGACAGCCCAGAGACAUCUACCACCAGACCUGGGCCAGAUACAUUGUGAAGUUCCUGGAUGCCUAUGCUGAGCACAAGUUACAGUUCUGGGCAGUGACAGCUGAAAAUGAGCCUUCUGCUGGGCUGUUGAGUGGAUACCCCUUCCAGUGCCUGGGCUUCACCCCUGAACAUCAGCGAGACUUCAUUGCCCGUGACCUAGGUCCUACCCUUGCCAACGGUACUCACCACAAUGUCCGCCUACUCAUGCUGGAUGACCAACGCUUGCUGCUGCCCCACUGGGCAAAGGUGGUACUGACAGACCCAGAAGCAGCUAAGUAUGUUCAUGGUAUUGCUGUACAUUGGUACCUGGACUUUCUGGCUCCAGCCAAAGCCACCCUAAGGGAGACACACCACCUGUUCCCCAACACCAUGCUCUUUGCCUCAGAGGCCUGUGUGGGUUCCAAGUUCUGGGAGCAGAGUGUGCGGCUAGGCUCCUGGGAUCGAGGGAUGCAGUACAGCCACAGCAUCAUCACAGUAAGCCACCCCAGUCUCCCUUCCUGCAAAGGAGACCUCAGACCCAUUAGUAGUCUCACCAAAGACUGAUAGAAGCCCUUCCUGUCCAGCUUUCCCCAGGUAGCCUGCCCUUUUGGGCAACUCUGGGGAACCAUGAUUCCCUGUCUUGCCUUUCCUUCACAGGUCUGCACACCUCAUUGCCCCUUUUGCAACUACUGAGGCACUUGCAGCUGCCUCAGACUUCUCAGCUCCCCUUGAGAUGCCUGGAUCUUCACACCCCCAACUCCUUAGCUACUAAGGAAUGUGCCCCUCACAGGGCUGACCUACCCACAGCUGCCUCUCCCACACGUGACCCUUACCUACACUCUCUGGGGACCCCCAGUGUUGCGCCUUUGUCUCCUUGCCUUUGUCCUUACCCUAGAACCUCCUGUACCAUGUGGUCGGCUGGACCGACUGGAACCCAUCAUUGUAGACAUCACCAAGCACACGUUUUACAAACAGCCCAUGUUCUACCACCUUGGCCACUUCAGCAAGUUCAUUCCUGAGGGCUCCCAGAGAGUGGGGCUGGUUGCCAGUCAGAAGAACGACCCGGACGCAGUGGCACUGAUGCAUCCCGAUGGCUCUGCUGUUGUGGUCGUGCUAAACCGCUCCUCUAAGGAUGUGCCUCUUACCAUCAAGGAUCCUGCUGUGGGCUUCCUGGAGACAAUCUCACCUGGCUACUCCAUUCACACCUACCUGUGGCGUCGCCAGUGAUGGAGCAGAUACUCAAGGAGGCACUGGGCUCAGCCUGGGCAUUAAAGGGACAGAGUCAGCUCACACGCUGUCUGUGACUAAAGAGGGCACAGCAGGGCCAGUGUGAGCUUACAGCGACGUAAGCCCAGGGGCAAUGGUUUGGGUGACUCACUUUCCCCUCUAGGUGGUGCCAGGGGCUGGAGGCCCCUAGAAAAAGAUCAGUAAGCCCCAGUGUCCCCCCAGCCCCCAUGCUUAUGUGAACAUGCGCUGUGUGCUGCUUGCUUUGGAAACUGGGCCUGGGUCCAGGCCUAGGGUGAGCUCACUGUCCGUACAAACACAAGAUCAGGGCUGAGGGUAAGGAAAAGAAGAGACUAGGAAAGCUGGGCCCAAAACUGGAGACUGUUUGUCUUUCCUGGAGAUGCAGAACUGGGCCCGUGGAGCAGCAGUGUCAGCAUCAGGGCGGAAGCCUUAAAGCAGCAGCGGGUGUGCCCAGGCACCCAGAUGAUUCCUAUGGCACCAGCCAGGAAAAAUGGCAGCUCUUAAAGGAGAAAAUGUUUGAGCCCA
ensembl:lncRNA GBA1LP glucosylceramidase beta 1 like, pseudogene